GGAGAGAUGGGUGCACGUCAUGGAAAAGGUUUUUGGUCUGGUAGCUUUCUGAUCGAAGCGGCAGGAAGAUCUUUGUGGUCCAGCUGUAUAGGAAAAGCAAGGGAUCAGUCUACGGAUAUCCUCGAGUUAGACGAAGUGAGAUGUUCUAGCAGUCGAACCUGGAUGAGCUCCAGAACAAAGUGUGUGUCUUUGCUGUAGAGUUCAGUGGAAAGGCGUUCGAGACUGCGGCCGAGCCGAGCCUGUUGCUUCUUCAUCAGGUUCUGACCCGCUUCGUUCAGCUCCACUCCAACACCAAACUCAUUCUUCCUACAUGCGACAGAGGACCAGUUCAAGGGAAACUGAACACAACAUAAAAAAAUCAAAUUCAUUAAAAGACUGGAAAUGUCUGAACCUGAUGUCCUCGACGAUGGCCCUCUGCUGGCUGAGCUGCUCACUGGUUUCAUCCCCUUCUGAAUGUCCUUCAGGAAGCUCU